GCAGUAGCCGCGGUAAUACGUAGGGUGCGAGCGUUAAUCGGAAUUACUGGGCGUAAAGCGUGCGCAGGCGGUUCGUUAAGACAGAUGUGAAAUCUCCGGGCUUAACCUGGGAACUGCAUUUGUGACUGGCGAGCUAGAGUAUGGCAGAGGGGGGUAGAAUUCCACGUGUAGCAGUGAAAUGCGUAGAGAUGUGGAGGAAUACCGAUGGCGAAGGCAGCCCCCUGGGCCAAUACUGACGCUCAUGCACGAAAGCGUGGGGAGCAAACAGGAUUAGAUACCCCUGUAGUCCCUGUCUCUUAUAC
rnacentral:rRNA from 1 species